rnacentral:other from 1 species
UACCCUGGGGCGUUUGUGAUCGCCCGGAGUGUUAUUGAGCCAAUGCUCUGAAAAAAGGGCGACGACUCCAGCGUGCUGGUGAGCAGGCCCGACUCGCAUCGGGAAGCCUGAAGGUACGCGAGACAUGCCCACCUGUAGAUAACAGGUUCAAAACAAACAGGCGACACGGCCUCCCGGGGAC